AUUGAACGCUGGCGGCAGGCCUAACACAUGCAAGUCGAGCGGAUGAAGGGAGCUUGCUCCUGGAUUCAGCGGCGGACGUGUGAGUAAUGCCUAGGAAUCUGCCUGGUAGUGGGGGAUAACGUCCGGAAACGGGCGCUAAUACCGCAUACGUCCUGAGGGAGAAAGUGGGGGAUCUUCGGACCUCACGCUAUCAGAUGAGCCUAGGUCGGAUUAGCUAGUUGGUGGGGUAAAGGCCUACCAAGGCGACGAUCCGUAACUGGUCUGAGAGGAUGAUCAGUCACACUGGAACUGAGACACGGUCCAGACUCCUACGGGAGGCAGCAGUGGGGAAUAUUGGACAAAGGGCGAAAGCCUGAUCCAGCCAUGCCGCGUGUGUGAAGAAGGUCUUCGGAUUGUAAAGCACUUUAAGUUGGGAGGAAGGGUAGUAAGUUAAUACCUUGCUGUUUUGACGUUACCAACAGAAUAAGCACCGGCUAACUUCGUG
rnacentral:rRNA from 1 species